UUUCUUUAUAUUGGGAAACUUCAAAUGCUUUCUAUGGCAUAUUCUUUGCCUAAAAAGGUAAAAGGCCUGGGCUGUUCAGUUCCCAAUGGGUUAUGCCCAUCUCCUGAGCUACUGAGGGAUCUUCCUAAUAGAGUGGAGGUAAAGAUCAUGUGCCUGGGGCAAUCUAUAGCUUGGGGGAACCUCAGAUAGUUCCCAAGGGAAAACUAAAUCUCCUUGGCUUCCAUACCAAGUGAAGACCCUCAAGUAAUUCACGGG
rnacentral:lncRNA from 1 species